AUAUCCAAAACUAUAAUAACCCUUCCCCCUCUGCACGCGCAGUUAUAGCAAAUUGAACUUGAGCCAAGAGACGGGCCGGUUGUGGGGCUGUGGUUGUCGCCUAAGGCCCACAUCCAUCCCUGGUUCCUGGGCCCUGUUCAGUUCUAAUUCGGUUUGAUACAAUAGUAUGUUAGUUUCGUGGUCACUCUCGCCCUCAUUAGCACAACAGCAUAAUAGUGGAUGAGCAUAGCAGCUCUAGCUAACUAGUACCCAUUGACUUGGCCCUUUCGGGCUUCAGGCCAUUGGGCAAAGUGCUCAGAAAGCUGACCAGGCUAAUUUUUUAAGACGACAUAUUUUUUUUAUGGCAAUUCUGACAGAC
rnacentral:sRNA from 1 species